UACAGAGGUCUCAAGCGUUGUUCGGAUUCAUUGGGCGUAAAGGGUGCGUAGGCGGCGCGGUAAGUCGGGUGUGAAAUCUCGGGGCUUAACUCCGAAACUGCAUUCGAUACUGCCGCGCUUGAGGACUGGAGAGGAGACUGGAAUUUACGGUGUAGCGGUGAAAUGCGUAGAUAUCGUAAGGAAGACCAGUGGCGAAGGCGGGUCUCUGGACAGUUCCUGACGCUGAGGAGCGAAAGCGUGGGGAGCGAACAGG
rnacentral:rRNA from 1 species